rnacentral:piRNA from 1 species
UGGCUAAUUCUUGAAUAUAGGGGAUGC